GAUGAAGAACGUAGCGAGACGCGAUAUGUAAUGUGAAUUGCAGAAUUCAGUGAAUCAUCGAAUCUUUGAACGCACAUGGCGCCUUCCAGUAUCCUGGGAGGCAUGCCUGUCCGAGCGUCGUUUCAACCCUCGAGCCCCCGUGGCCCGGCGUUGGGGAUCUGCCCAGGCAGUCCCCGAAAACCAGUGGCGGACCCGUUACAGGCCCUUCCCUUGCGUAGUAGCAUUCGCCUCGCAUCGGGAGCCGGCGGGCUUCCAGCCUCUAAACCCCCAUCAAGUCCGCCCCGGCGGCACCAAGGUUGACCUCGGAUCAGGUAGGAAUACCCGCUGAACUUAAGCAUAUCAAUAAGCGGAGGA
rnacentral:misc_RNA from 1 species